AUUAUCCUAAUCACUAAUCAAAAUCAACAGAAUACCAAGUUAUAUGUCAACAAAAAAUUGGUUGGAAGCUUAGAUCAAUUAUACUAGUAUAUGAUCUAAGAUCGGAAGAAACUAUCGUCUAGCAGAUUAAAAACUUGAUAAAUGAAAUUUGUUAUAAAAGACUUUUCAGAGAAUAACAAAAUAUAUAUGUUCCUAUUCCUUUAAAAAAUAAUGGAAUCAAUUAAUUCACUCGUUCCUCUAAAAAGGAAUUGUUCCUUAUACUAGGUGUAUAUGUGCAUUGUGCAUAUUCUAG